AGCGAACGCUGGCGGCAGGCCUAACACAUGCGAGUCGAACGAACCUUUCGGGGUUAGUGGCGGACGGGUGAGUAACACGUGGGAACGUGCCUUUAGGUUCGGAAUAACUCAGGGAAACUUGUGCUAAUACCGAAUGUGCCCUUCGGGGGAAAGAUUUAUCGCCUUUAGAGCGGCCCGCGUCUGAUUAGCUAGUUGGUUGAGGUAAUGGCUCACCAAGGCGACGAUCAGUAGCUGGUCUGAGAGGAUGAUCAGCCACAUUGGGACUGAGACACGGCCCAAACUCCUACGGGAGGCAGCAGUGGGGAAUCUUGCGCAAUGGGCGAAAGCCUGACGCAGCCAUGCGGCGUGAAUGAUGAAGGUCUUAGGAUUGUAAAAUUCUUUCACCGGGGACGAUAAUGACGGUACCCGGAGAAGAAGCCCCGGCUAACUUCGUG
rnacentral:rRNA from 1 species